rnacentral:rRNA from 1 species
GUCCACGCCCUAAACGAUGGAUACUCGACAUUUGCGAUAUACUGUAAGUGUCUGAGCGAAAGCAUUAAGUAUCCCACCUGGGAAGUACGAUCGCAAGAUUGAAACUCAAAGGAAUUGACGGGGUCGCACAAGCGGUGGAGCAUGUGGUUUAAUUCGAUGAUACGCGAGGAACCUUACCUGGGCUAGAAUGCGGUUUGACCGUGGGUGAAAGCUCAUUUGUAGCAAUACACAGAUCGUAAGGUGCUGCAUGGCUGUCGU